UUUAAUUAACCUCUUUUCCAUCCAGGAGAUCAGAUAGGAAAAUAGCCCCAGGCUCCCAAAGCUAUUGUCAGCCUUGCUUUGUCUACCUUUAGGGCCUAACUUCUUUCUGCUAAUUAUAUGACCUUUUUCUGUUUUUCUCUUGUGAAAUAACUCAGUGUGUCUGAACUCAUAGCUGGGCCUUUGAAUUUCUUUCGUGUACCUAGAAAAGAUUUGUGGGGUUGAAAUGAAUGCAGAACAGGCUGCUCUUCUCUCCUGAUCCAUCUAGUCAUGAGUCAGCAUUAAACUCUCCACUUGGGUUUAAAAGCGGGGAAGCUGUGUGGCUGGGGAAUCACAUAAACAGUCAGCAGAGUGUUUCAGAGCAGGGAGGAAAAUCUGGGUUCAUUCUCCAGACUCCAUGCUUAAGAAACUGGGCUUGGUAGUAUGUGCACGAAAUCCCAGCAUGUGCAGUGGGGAUGGAAGGAUCUCUGAGGCCUUCGGGCCAGCCUGUGCAGCAGAGCCCGUGAGCUCCGAAUUCUGUAAUGAGGCCACAUGGUAUUCAAAUGAAUAAGAUGUCAAGCAAUUGAGAAAGACGGUGUGAGGGCUAAAGUUGUGUUUUAAGUUUAAAUUACUGUGCUUAAGAGAAGUAUAAAAAAUGUCUCUAACCUGUAAGCUCCACGUAUCCGAGGACAGGUCUCUUUCUGGAAUGCUGAGGGCUGUUCGUGUAACAUAGCAAGCCACAUGUUUUCACUUCAGUAAACAAGGUUGGUUGUCCCACCCACACAGGCUGUGCUUGAUCUCAUGGAGGUGGGAGGCAGAAAGUACCUCAGGAUGUAUGCUUGCCUCGAUCAGACACAGACAGGAAGUAUGUAACCUUGUGAGCUUUGCCUUUAGGUUAGCCUGGCUAAUCUGAUUCAGCAUCGUUUUCUGGGAAUCCUGGGUAUGGCCGACCGUCCUGGUCAGUAUUAAAUAAAGCUUGCAAUCAAUCCAUCCAUCCAUCCAUCCAUCCAUCCAUCCAUCCAUCAAUCAAUGAUUGUGAGUUUGGUCUUUCUCCUCAUGAUUCUCAGGGUUAACAAAUCUGACCUCAACUGUGGCCUCUAGACACACAGACACUUGCACCCCACACCCCAUAACAUGAACACACACAGACACAUACUAAAAACACAAUGUAAUGGGGGGCAGCUUUGAUUUCAUGACUGGUUAAUAUGAGGGGAAAAAAUGUCCUCUGAAUUAGGGCGAGAUAAAAGUUGGAUGUGAGUGGGUGAUAUGAAGUGCCCAUCGGUUCUGCGGGGUACCUGGGUAGCACCUGUGGUUCGGCAGGCCAUCUGGGUGGCAACCACAGCAGCAUUCUGCAGUCCUGGGAUCCUUUCAGUGCCUUCUUUGGGUUUCUGACAACUGUUUCUGUUUCUAGAUCCUGCAAUACAAACAUUUCUUUUCAUAGUUUAGAAGAGAGGAAUGAUCAGGAUAAUCCAUGGGUGGUGAACGCCUUUAGUCCCAGCACUUGGGAGGCAGAGGCAGGCAGACUUCUGAGUUUCAGGCCAGCCUGGUCUAUAGAGUGAGUUCCAGGACAGCCAGGGCUACACAGAGAAACCCUGUCUCAAAAAACAAAACAGGAAAAAAAAACAAAAAAACAAAAACAAAAAAAUCCCAAAACAAACAAACAAAUAAAAGAAACAAACAAACAAAAACAAGUGAUACUUGGAGAGAGAGAUGAAGAAUCCAGAGGAUGCCCUUGAGGAGUAUCCUAAUUAGCUUUUCAGGUAUAUGAUAUAUG
rnacentral:lncRNA from 1 species